rnacentral:rRNA from 1 species
CCUACGGGAGGCUGCAGUGGGGAAUAUUGGACAAUGGGCGAAAGCCUGAUCCAGCAAUGCCGCGUGAGUGAUGAAGGCCUUAGGGUUGUAAAGCUCUUUACCAGGGAUGCAGUACCUGGAGAAUAAGCCCGGCUAACUCCGUGCCAGCAGCCGCGGUAAUACGGAGGGGCUAGCGUUGUUCGGAAAUACUGGGCGUAAAGCGCACGUAGGCGGCGCAGCAAGUCAGGGGUGAAAUCCCGGGGCUCAACCUCGGAACUGCCCUUGAAACUGCAGUGCUAGAAUCUUGGAGAGGCGAGUGGAAUUCCGAGUGUAGAGGUGAAAUUCGUAGAUAUUCGGAAGAACACCAGUGGCGAAGGCGACUCGCUGGACAGAUUGACGCUGAGGUGCGAAAGCGUGGGGAGCAAACAGGAUUAGAUACCCUUGUAGUC